AUUGAACGCUGGCGGCAGGCCUAACACAUGCAAGUAGAGCGAGCGGCGGACGGGUGAGUAAUGUCUGGGAAACUGCCUGAUGGAGGGGGAAAACUAAUGGAAACGGUAGCUAAUACCGCAUAUCAUCAGACGUGCCCAGGUGGGAUUAGCUAGUUGGUGGGGUACAGGCGCACCUAGGUGACGAUCCCUAGCUGGUCUGAGAGGAUGACCAGCCACACUGGAACUGAGAAACGGUCCAGACUCCUACGGGAGGCAGCAGUGGGGAAUAUUGCACAAUGGGCGCAAGCCUGAUGCAGCCAUGCCGCGUGUGGGAAGAAGGCCUUCGGGUUGGAAAGCACUUUUGUCGGAGAGGCGUUAACCGCAGAAGAAGCACCCGCUAACUCCGUGCCAGCCGCCGCGGUAAUAC
rnacentral:rRNA from 1 species